GACGAACGCUGGCGGCGUGCUUAACACAUGCAAGUCGAACGGAAAGGCCCUGCUUUUGUGGGGUGCUCGAGUGGCGAACGGGUGAGUAACACGUGAGUAACCUGCCCUUGACUUUGGGAUAACUUCAGGAAACUGGGGCUAAUACCGGAUAGGAGCUCCUGCUGCAUGGUGGGGGUUGGAAAGUUUCGGCGGUUGGGGAUGGACUCGCGGCUUAUCAGCUUGUUGGUGGGGUAGUGGCUUACCAAGGCUUUGACGGGUAGCCGGCCUGAGAGGGUGACCGGCCACAUUGGGACUGAGAUACGGCCCAGACUGCUACGGGAGGCAGCAGUGGGGAGUAUUGCACAAUGGGCGGAAGCCUGAUGCAGCAACGCCGCGUGCGGGAUGACGGCCUUCGGGUUGUAAACCGCUUUCGCCUGUGACGAAGCGUGAGUGACGGUAAUGGGUAAAGAAGCACCGGCUAACUACGUG
rnacentral:rRNA from 1 species